AAAUUGAAGAGUUUGAUCAUGGCUCAGAUUGAACGCUGGCGGCAGGCCUAACACAUGCAAGUCGAACGGUAACAGGAAGAAGCUUGCUUCUUUGCUGACGAGUGGCGGACGGGUGAGU
rnacentral:rRNA from 1 species